CUGGCUCAGGAUGAACGCUGGCGGCGUGCCUAACACAUGCAAGUCGAACGGAGAAUUUACGCUGACGAGACUUCGGUCAAAUCUUGUAAAUUCUUAGUGGCGGACGGGUGAGUAACGCGUGGGCAACCUGCCUCAUACUGGGGGAUAGCAGUUGGAAACGACUGAUAAUACCGCAUAAGCGCACAGCAUCGCAUGAUGCAGUGUGAAAAACUCCGGUGGUAUGAGAUGGGCCCGCGUCAGAUUAGCCAGUUGGCAGGGUAACGGCCUACCAA
rnacentral:rRNA from 1 species